AGUCUUUCUAUAGCUUUCUUCAUGAUAAACAGUAGAGAACAGUAUAAAGAAUAUGAAAUAGUUAGCUGUAGCUCUUAUAGCUCUAAGUACUUUUUGAGUGUAUGGUAUACAAAUGCAGCCAUUAAACAAAUUAUUGGGUUAAUUUGAUUAUAUUUUUAUUUUGUACAAUUAUCCAUCCAAGUGCAUUCACAUUCUUUUUAAUAUAUUUACGCACUUCCACUAAUCUCUAGCUAAUUUCCAUCUUCGCAGACUUUGCCAGUUAAAAUGUAACCAACACCAACUUCAAAGGCAAAUAUAAUUGCGCCUAAUUGCCUUUAAUUGUUCAAAACGGAGGUCCAAAAACGCCAGGACAAUGAGUACUAAUUCAACUAUCAGUGGAAAGAUAAUUUUCCAUCACCGCAGCACAAGUGCAUAUAUUGUGUUUUCGGAACGGAGCUUAUUCUUCACAACUUAUAUGUACUCCAUCCGCAUGACCAGACCUCCAACGGCAAGCUUCAUGAAAAGCUUCAAGGGAAAGUGUUCGUACCAUCCCACAUAGCGGUCCUCCACAACCCCAUAGCUAAUUAAUUGUAAUACGACGAAAAAAUAACAGAAACGCAUACAAAUCACGAAUAUAACUAGGGAAUCAAACGACAAACGGAACCGAAAUUCGAAUGAUUCCUUGCGUAGACAGGAAGAUAUCUUCACAAACUGUCAGUUCAUGAUGGAGCCAGAACAGUUCUCUGAGGAAUGCCUGUAGCUUUUGCUCAAUCCUAUUCGCCUAUGGAGCGCUGUGGAGUGCCCGAUGGAUCAGAUGUCCGAUGAGUGCUGCGAUGGAUGUUAGGGCACACCGGCGGUGAUCUUGAUAGCACAGAGGGCUGCAGCAGGGAGUGCGUUUUGCGCUUCCACUGUCCACCCGGGGAGAAAAUCAACGAGCUCCGAUGGCAUGAUCCAAGGGACGGCUUAGACGGCUUUCUACGAGGGAGAAAUUCAUCGAGUUGGCACUUGCGUGGAUGGAUACUAGCUAAAUGAGCCGCGUUAACAAGGAGAACUAUCGACCUAGUCCGAGCUGCGCUUCAACAGCUCAAAGCUAUUGUUCGCUGACCUUACCAAGUGCGCUCCCGACCUACUACCUGGAUAAAUUCAAAUAACACAUGCUCACACAAAAGUGAAGGCUAUUCUUCCAGCAGAACCGAUUAUUCCAUAUUUUUGUGUGUGUUCUAAAAUACGGAGAUUCUUGAUUGUAAAGUGAUUAUUAACUGCCUCUUGUGAGCUCUCAGCAUUUUCCGUCGCGUCGAUCAAGUCUUUUUCAGCCGUCAAAAUAAAAACACAUUUGUUUUUGCCGAAAUUUGUUGCUUCCUUUGUUACUGAGGGAUUUUUUUUGUCACACACUGUAUGUGCCCGAUUGUGCGGGCACAAUCUGUCCGGCUUUCAGACAAAUGCGGGAAUAAGAACAAUUAGAAAUGCCGCCUGUGUGUGUGCCAGGUGACAAACUGGAAGUUCUCAGAGAACGUCUGAAAGUCCAGCUGCAAUGUAGAGAGAGCUUCACACUUCACCCUCUUCGAUGACUUUGAAUCCCCAGGAGCCUGCGACUGCGCCCUCUGCUAAAGCGUCUUCGAAAUAUGCGAUGUUUUGAGCAUAACCAAACAUGACACUAUGGAUAUAACCUUCAAUUAGACUGGAGCCGCUUUAAAUCUACAAAUUAGUACCAGCAGACCCGAAAAAUAUGAUCCUCCGCGUAGAAUAAUAAAAUUAGCAAAAUGGCAGAGGGCCAGCCCUUACGAUAAGAGACAACAGUAAAUCAGGAGGCUUAUAUUAUGAAUGAAAUCAGUACUCACAGAACUCCAGAGCUGAAUGCUUAUUGGGUGAUAAGCCGGUCACAAUAUUGAGAAGUUCCGGUAGGCUGCAAAUAAGCCCCUGCGAAACAAAUCCUAGUGCUGAAUACGCAUGGUGGUAGGCGAUUUAGGUGGCGCUCUGGAAGGCAAUCUCAGAUAGGCCCUCUGGUCGACAAGGUUUCGACAAGAUACAGUACUAUCUGAUCGACUAUACUGAUCGCAGCUUUUAUUCCCUGCCGUGUGAAAUUGGCCCAAACAUGGUUGCACUUGCUUGAUACUUAUGCCCCACAGCGUUUUGAGUAAAAUGUAAGUAAAUUUAUAGCAGCACUUGCAGAACCACGUUAUAUUUGCCUCUGACACGCAACCUUGGAAGAGGGGCUGUAGAAGGCUGCACUUUCAGAGUGCAAUGUUGUGGCACCUUUGGAUAAUGCACUUCACUCCGUCCUGCGC